GAAUCAUCUAUAUAAAGAUAAGAACGAGCCUGUACAAAGGCUCAAGUUUGGGAUGUAAGUUGGUGAAUUUAAAGCACACUAAGACCAGUAUGGCUUGAGGUGAGCUAUAAUGGGAGAGGUUGAGCUUGGAGAAAAAGACAGAGGUUAGCUCAUAUGUGCCUCGAUAGCCCCCAAAAGAGUUUGGAAUUUAUUCCAUAUGUGGGGAAGCCACUUUACACUGGUAAGUAGCACAUUCUCGUUUCAUUUUUUUUUUUGUUUUGUUCUGGUUUGGUUUUGAUUGAGAUAUAAUUGACAUUUAACUGGUUUCUAUUUUUAAAAUUCACUCUGGCUGCUGAGUUGAGAAUGCAUGAUGUGUGUGUUGGGGUUGAAAGGAAGAGUAGAAGUAGGGAGAUAUUGAGGACUCCAUUAUAGUGGGUCAGGUAAGAGACAGUGGGGCUGGACAAGGAUAGAGACUAUGGAGGUCAGAGGAAAGGGUAGACUCAUGGUGCGUUUGGAUUGGCAAAGUUUGUUUCUGGAUUGUGUUGGGGUUGAGAGGUUGGAGAGGAAAGAAGAAUGGAGAUGGACUCCCACAAUUUGGUUUAGGGAACUGAAAGAUGUGGUGAUAUCUACACAGCCAGGAAAAACUGCGGGAGAAACUGGUGAAUAAGCACUAUGACUUUUGUGAGAGCAGGGAAAGAUAUGCGAGCAAUAAAUAUCUGGUCUGAGUAAAUUAAUUCAGGUAAUUAUUUCAACUUCUUCCGUUUACUGUAUUUGGGUUGGAUAGUAGCUCCGACUCAAUACCAGCACAUGUGUUUAUUGGCUGUGUGUUUGAACAUCUUGGCUGUGUGCAGAUUGUUACAUGAGACCAGUCAUUUCUUGAUCUAUUUUGUCUCCUAGCUUUUGAUUCUAAUUUUACUUUUAGUAGCUGCUGAGGAUCCUAUAGAAGGCAGGGGCUAUGCUUUGUUUUACCACCAGUACCUAGUAAAAUAUCUAGCACAUAGCAGAUGUUCAAUAAUAAUUUAUUAAAUGAAUGAAUUGACCAAUGUCUAAAAACAAUACAUGGAGGCAGACUUCAUCUCUAUCAAACAUUUUAUAAUAAUUGGGGCAUUAGGGAUGCUAAUUCAUCAUCCUCCAAAUCUGAGGUGUUCACAAUAGAGAUGGCUUGGUGGGGUGACAUAUGUUCUUGCAAAGGAAUAUUAUUUAAAGGAAUGUAUCAUUUACAAUGAAACAAAAUGAAGUUUCAAACAUUCCUAUGACACUAUUUAUCAUCUCUUUUUUUUUUUUUUUCAACGUUUUUAUUUAUUUUUGGGACAGAGACAGAGCAUGAACGGGGGAGGGGCAGAGAGAGAGGGAGACACAGAAUCGGAAACAGGCUCCAGGCUCCAAGCCAUCAGCCCAGAGCCUGACGCGGGGCUCGAACUCACAGACCGUGAGAUCGUGACCUGGCUGAAGUCGGACGCUUAACCGACUGCGCCACCCAGGCGCCCCCAUCAUCUCUUUUCUUAUGGGAAAACCAUUUGGAAACUCCUCAUUGGAAGUUUCCUCAUUGGAAACUCCUCGUGUUGAAAGCUUAAAUUUCCAAACCAAUUCCAAGUAGCUCAGUUCUUCUGGUGUAAAGCAAAGGAUAAGAUAACUUCCUACCUUUCACCUACCUACUUAAUGGAGACCUUGAUGUGAGGACUGAGAAAUGAGUGUAAAAUAAACAACUCUGCCUUAGCAAGUGUUAGUUGUUAUGUCAUACUACCAAUUUAAGUGGCAUCCAUAUUUAUCCAAUCAAACUUGCCUUCUAACAAGCAUUCCAUUAUUCUGUAAUACUAGGGCUUGAGUCAUUUUGGUUGCAAGUUCUAAGGUUGAUGAAAUACACAAAGCAGCUGUGAGAUCUGGACUCCAGAACAGCUUCUAUCUCCAUUUCGAUAAUCAGUCUCAAGAAAGACCUGGUUAUUAUGGGGCGCCUGGGUGGCGCAGUCAGUUAAGCGUCCGACUUCAGCCAGGUCACAAUCUCUCGGUCCGUGAGUUCGAGCCCCACGUCAGGCUCUGGGCUGAUGGCUCAGAGCCUGGAGCCUGUUUCCGAUUCUGUGUCUCCCUCUCUCUCUGCCCCUCCCCCGUUCAUGCUCUGUCUCUCUCUGUCCCAAAAAUAAAUAAAAAACGCUGAAAAAAAAAUUAAAAAAAAAAAAAAAAAAAAAAAAAAAAAAAGAAAGACUUGGUUAUUAAACUGUCACAUGCUGAGGUUUGUUUUGGUUAUAAAAUAUGUGACAAAAACUCAAUAAACACUUGAAGAUGCAGAAUAAGCACUCCUCUGGGUGUGACAGAAGUUUAAGUUCCUUCCAAGAGUAGUUAAAGGUUUUUAACAUAAAGGACUGAGAUUCUAGUCUUAACAAAAUCUUCCCUGGGAGCAGUUAUGUCAGAAUGGCUAAAAGAUGCUGAAAAUCAAGCAAUUGGUUUACAUCUAGCCCUGGACACUUAUCUAUCACUUCUUUCUUUUUUUAAAAAAAUUUAAAAAAUACUUAUUUACUUUGAGAGAGAGAGAGAGAGAGCACGCAUAAGUGGGGCAGGGGCAGAGAGAGAUAAGGGGGAAACACAGAAUCUGAAACAGGCUUUGAGUUGUCAACACAGAGCCCGAUUCAGGACUUGAACUCGGGAAUGGUGAGAUCAUGACCAGAGCCAAAGUCGGACUCUUAACCAACUGAGCCACCCAGGUGCCCCAAGAUUUAUCUAUCAUUUCUGAAGUUUUUAUGUGUUUCCUGGAAAGAAGCCAAGACUGUCUUCUGAGUUAGAGAAUGGAUAUCAAGACAGACUAACUGGGUAAUUGGGGAAUCAUUUUUUUGCAGCAAAGGGAAAACAAGAACAACAACAACAACAAAAAGCAGGACUUAGCUUGUUUUCCCACACAGGCAAACAAAACAAACUUCAGUGUAGCUAAGUCUUGAUGAUUUUGUCUUCCAACAAACCCCCAAACAUAGAUAAAGUGCUUCCAGUGCCAAUUUGAAGUUGGCAGGCAAGUUGGGCUGCAAAUGAUCUAAUUUAUCUCAAUUCAAAUCAGCUUAGCAAAUUUGGAAGAUGCUACACGAAAAUAGGUAACAUGGGAGUCACAAACACAUGAAUUUUGAGGUCUUUAAGCAAAAGUGACUUCCCAGGACAAACUACUUCCUGUUAUUCUCCCAGUAAACAGUGUACAUAGAAACCAAACAGACAGGACAGGCUACUGGGUUAAAAGCUUGCCUAUUUAAAUGCUUGGCUCACAACUAAGAAUUACAAACCACCUGCCUCCUUUUCAGAAGGAAGGAAACUUUCAAAAGGCAACAAUCUAGCUGAAACCCUAGGAAGAAGUGGGAGUACAAAGAGAGGGCACAGUGGGAGAACACAGUAAUUAUUCAAUAAUUAUUGGCAGUGAAUAAAAUGCAUGAAAUGCAGGUGUAAAUUAUAAUGCAAGAAUGCCAUCAUACUCUAAUGGCAGUGCUGUCUCAGUCCAGGAAAGAGCACCCCUAUGGAUUCCUUUUCCAAACCCUUUACUUUGCUUAGGGGAGCUUUAGAAAGGGCAGCAGACUGUGGGUUUAUAAAAGGCACAGCAAAUUUAGUAAGAGGAUUGGGGCUCAGGUCACCUAAGAGUUUUCUCAUUUCACCUUCCCUUUUCUGAGUUUGGCAAUUUUCAUCUAAAACUUAAACAAUAAGUGGGUGAUUUAGUUCCUUAACCUAAAAACAAUAACAAAAGACCGACCAAAAGAGAAAAUUGUACCAAAAACUGAGGCUUUCAGGCAUGGGCAAACUUAUUGUUUUUAUGUUAAUUAAAGUACUGGAAACAAUUAGUGUUCUACACCGCCUUAUGUUGGCAUAUUGCUUUAUGGUCUACAAAGUGCUUUUGGAUCCGCCUCGUAUGGGGUUCUCAUCCAAUCUUGUUCUAGGUGGGAAUUAUUAAAUGAAACAAGAAGGAUAUAAGGUGUCCGGCACAGGCCUGGAACAUAGUUAAUGCUUUAUAGGUGAAAACACGGGUGCAGAGAGGUUAAGUGGGGAAUCCAAAGUCAAGUGUCCUAUUUGUGCCCUAAGCACCUCAAGUCCAGGUCUUCAGAUUCCCAGUACAAACCACUUUCCCACUACCUCAUCCCAACUUUCUUGGGUUCUCUGGGCAAAGACACAACCUGAAAAUGUCCUCUUAUGCAACAGUUUCUAUUACUUCUCUCUACAGAAGCUAUUAAUUGGUAGUAAUGUCAAAAGAUUUACAUAGCACCUUCUUAUUUCUUUGUCCUUUUCUAGAGGUGAUGAUGGGCCAGAAAACGAGUCAUCAAAAGGGGGAAGGGAAUUUCAUCCUGCCAAUUCAUUAAUGAGUCCUGCUGUACUGAAAAACUGCAGAAGAUUCAAGACUUUUUUCCAUGCAUUCAUUUCUCGGUAUACAACCUCACUCAAGUAACACAUCUCGCUGAUCUGUGCAUGGUAGAAACUUUGUCUUCUACUCUGCAGAACCUUGGUGCUCAUCUAGCAUAAAAUGAGGAUGUGAUUUGGAAAACAUGAGAUUGAUUCUGUCAAUAUAUACAACUGAGAACUUCAGGACUCAGAGGGGAUUUUUAUAACUGGGUAUCUCUGUCUGUCCUUCAAUGUUCCCAGGGAGAUCACCUCCAACUGGAGCCUGGGAGAGACUUCAAUGUAUUUCCUCCCCAAGAACAAUGCCUUCCUCCACAUGUCCCAACUAGACAUUUUCUGAGCUCCGUAUCCCAACCGGCUCC
rnacentral:lncRNA from 1 species